UAGUUUAGUUGUAUCAUUUGUGAUGGUU
rnacentral:piRNA from 1 species